AGUGAACGCUGGCGGUAGGCCUAACACAUGCAAGUCGAACGGCAGCACAGUAAGAGCUUGCUCUUACGGGUGGCGAGUGGCGGACGGGUGAGGAAUACAUCGGAAUCUACUUUUUCGUGGGGGAUAACGUAGGGAAACUUACGCUAAUACCGCAUACGACCUACGGGUGAAAGCAGGGGAUCUUCGGACCUUGCGCGAUUGAAUGAGCCGAUGUCGGAUUAGCUAGUUGGCGGGGUAAAGGCCCACCAAGGCGACGAUCCGUAGCUGGUCUGAGAGGAUGAUAAGCCACACUGGAACUGAAACACGGUCCAGACUCCUACGGGAGGCAGCAGUGGGGAAUAUUGGACAAUGGGGGCAAACCUGAUCCAGCCAUACCGCGUGGGUGAAGAAGGCCUUCGGGUUGUAAAGCCCUUUUGUUGGGAAAGAAAAGCAGCAGGUUAAUACCCCGCUGUUCUGACGGUACCCAAAGAAUAAGCACCGGCUAACUUCGUG
rnacentral:rRNA from 1 species